CCUACGGGAGGCAGCAGUGAGGAAUAUUGGUCAAUGGACGGAAGUCUGAACCAGCCAUGCCGCGUGCAGGAAGACGGCUCUAUGAGUUGUAAACCGCUUUUGUACAAGGGUAAACCUGAAUACGUGUAUGUAGCUGAAAGUACUGUACGAAUAAGGAUCGGCUAACUCCGGGCCAGCAGCCGCGGUAAUACGGAGGAUCCAAGCGUUAUCCGGAUUUCUUGGGUUUAAAGGGUGCGCAGGUGGAUUGAUAAGUUAGAUGUGAAAAGUCCGAGCUUAACUCGAUAAGUGCCUCUGAUACUGGUGAUCUAGAGAGUAGAUGCGGUAGGCGGAAUGUAUGGUGUAGCGGUGAAAUGCUUAGAGA
rnacentral:rRNA from 1 species